rnacentral:rRNA from 1 species
UACGUAGGGGGCAAGCGUUGUCCGGAAUCAUUGGGCGUAAAGCGCGCGUAGGUGGCUUCGUAAGUCCGUUGUGAAAGUCAAAGGCUCAACCUUUGAAAGCCGAUGGAUACUGUGAAGCUAGAGUACGGAAGAGGCGAGUGGAAUUCCUGGUGUAGCGGUGAAAUGCGCAGAUAUCAGGAGGAACACCUAUUGCGAAGGCAGCUCGCUGGGACGUAACUGACGCUGAGACGCGAAAGCGUGGGGAGCAAACAGG